GCAGAGUAGGAAAAUAUGCGUAAAGUGCCGGGUGAACGGGGAGUUGUCAUCCGGACGAAAAACAGGAAACUGUUUGCGGUAUAUUUUUCGCAUCCCGCUGC
rnacentral:ncRNA from 1 species